rnacentral:rRNA from 1 species
GUCUACAGCCGUAUCUCCCUGAACAUGCCCAAUCUUGUCUGAUCUCAGAAGCUAAGCAGGGUCAGGCCUGGUUAGUACUUGGAAGGGAGGAUUGUAAGACU